rnacentral:rRNA from 1 species
UUUCGCAAUGCCCGAAAGGGUGACGAAGCGACGCCGCGUGAGUGAGGAAGGCCUUCGGGUUGUAAAGCUCUGUCAGGAGUUAAGAAAUAUAAGUGUGUUAAUACCACAUUUAUUUGACGAAGGCUCCAAAGGAAGCCACGGCUAACUCUGUGCCAGCAGCCGCGGUGAUGCAGAGGUGGCAAGCGUUGUUCGGAAUUAUUGGGCGUAAAGAGCACGUAGGUGGGUUUGUAAGUCAGAUGUGAAAGCCUUCUGUUCAACGGAAGAAUUGCAUCUGAAACUGCGAGUCUUGAGUGUAGGAGGGGAGAAUGGAACUUCUGGUGGAGCGGUGAAAUGCGUAGAUAUCAGAAGGAACGCCGGCGGCGAAAGCGAUUCUCUGGCCUAUUACUGACACUCGGUGUGCGAAAGCUAGGGGAGCAAACGGGAUUAGAUACCCCGGUAGUCCUAGCUGUAAACGAUGGGCACUAAGUAGAGGGGUUUUA